rnacentral:rRNA from 1 species
UACGUAGGGGGCAAGCGUUGUCCGGAUUUAUUGGGCGUAAAGAGCGUGUAGGCGGCCAUACAGGUCAGCUGUGAAAACUCGAGGCUCAACCUCGAGACGUCGGUUGAAACCGUAUGGCUAGAGUCCGGAAGAGGAGAGUGGAAUUCCCGGUGUAGCGGUGAAAUGCGCAGAUAUCGGGAGGAACACCUAUGGCGAAAGCGGCUCACUGGACCACAACUGACGCUGAGGCGCGAAAGCUAGGGGAGCAAACAGG